AACGAACGUUGGCGGCGUGGAUUAGGCAUGCAAGUCGUGGGACAGCUGGGGGCAACUCCAGUUGACCGGCGUAAGGGUAGUUAUGCAUAGGUAACCAUCCCUCCAGAUGGGGAUAACACCGAGAAAUCGGUGCUAAUACCCAGCGCCGUUGCGAUGGGCAUCUUAUUGCAACGAAAGGUGUGAUUCCGCUGGAGGACGGGCUUAUGUGGUAUUAGCUAGUUGGUAGGGUAAUGGCCUACCAAGGCUACGAUGCCUAGGGGGUGUUAGCGCACGACCCCCACCACUGGGACUGAGACACUGCCCAGACACCUACGGGUGGCAG
rnacentral:rRNA from 1 species